UACCAUCACCCCGAGUGGUCGGGACGAUUAUUGGGCCUAAAGCAUCCGUAGCCGGUCCUGCAAGUCUUCCGUUAAAUCCAGCUGCUCAACAGAUGGGCUGCGGGGGAUACUACAGGGCUAGGAGGCGGGAGAGGCAAGCGGUACUUUAUGGGUAGGGGUAAAAUCCGUUGAUCCAUAGAAGACCACCAGUGGCGAAGGCGGCUUGCCAGAACGCGCUCGACGGUGAGGGAUGAAAGCUGGGGGAGCAAACCGG
rnacentral:rRNA from 1 species